rnacentral:rRNA from 1 species
AGUGAACGCUGGCGGUAGGCCUAACACAUGCAAGUCGAACGGCAGCACAGUAAGAGCUUGCUCUUACGGGUGGCGAGUGGCGGACGGGUGAGGAAUACAUCGGAAUCUACUUUUUCGUGGGGGAUAACGUAGGGAAACUUACGCUAAUACCGCAUACGACCUACGGGUGAAAGCAGGGGAUCUUCGGACCUUGCGCGAUUGAAUGAGCCGAUGUCGGAUUAGCUAGUUGGCGGGGUAAGGGCCCACCAAGGCGACGAUCCGUAGCUGGUCUGAGAGGAUGAUCAGCCACACUGGAACUGAGACACGGUCCAGACUCCUACGGGAGGCAGCAGUGGGGAAUAUUGGACAAAGGGCGAAAGCCUGAUCCAGCCAUACCGCGUGGGUGAAGAAGGCCUUCGGGUUGUAAAGCCCUUUUGUUGGGAAAGAAAAGCAGCAGGUUAAUACCCCGCUGUUCUGACGGUACCCAAAGAAUAAGCACCGGCUAACUUCGUG